CGGAAAGCGGCUAACAUCGGCGCCGAGUGAUCCUGUACAUUUGUCUGUAACAGCUGAAUACACGUGGAUUCCAGCUUUAGCUGUCGUGAACCUGAUCCAAAUGCUUGCUGCCUCGGGACUCUACUGUGGUUUAAAAAGUGCUGAUCACAGGAUGAAACCUCAACCGAAGAGACGAAAUGGCCAGCAAGAAACCGUUCAAGUCGAUGAUGAGGAUGGCGGGAUUUAUUCAGUGGCGAGGCCGUAAAGAUUUUCAAGGUCUUCGAGGCAUCCAAUGCGUUCUCAACACCAGCAUACUCUGUGCCGAACAAGCAAAAGUUCCCGUGUGUUUUCCCAUGUUCCACAUUAUGCAGCGACAUCUCGUGCUUGCAAAAUGCUUUGAACCAGGUGAACUGAGCAACUUCCCUGUCACCCCUCUUGAAGUUGGGCUUCGCACACAACACCAAGACCAAUCGUCAGCCCUACUAUUGGGCGCCCACAGGCUGACGUCGUCUUCGAUUCGCUGCGAAACAACAGAGCGAGCUGUCACUCAAGAGAUAACAAACAAAAUGGGAUCAAGAGUAGGCUAAUGGAACUGCCGCACCAAUCACAAUAUCAACGAUGAUCAGACAUUCCAACAGCAUAUUCUCCUGCACCCUGAUCCCUUCCACGUAGCUAAGUGGCAAAGCUCGAUCUCAAAUCCCAAUGUAUUACAGUAAAUUAAAUAAUCGAACGAGCGGGAAGGCAAACAGGCCCCAGAGGACGCUCGACCAUUCAAUAAGAUCAUGUUCCCCCGAGCGCAUCAUUCCUGCUGAAAUCAAUUAUCCCUGGAUUAUAUCAACUGAAAAACAUACAUCAAUCCAUACAUACUCAUCAACAAAACCUCAGCUGCCUUGCUGGGUGGACAAUACUAAAUACUUGGUGCUCAAAAUCCAAAUACCACUUUGGUUGGAAUUUUUGUCCAGAUCAGUCCUAAAUGUUUGACCAAGUCUUUCGAGGACUGUAAUCCUUGUUUCUGGAUUCGAGAGAAAUAAAGUCCUUCACCUAACUUUCGAAGACUCUUCGGCAGUUUCUAAUUUGCAAAGUGAUCACCUGCAUUCAACAGACUAUCUGCACAUCACAAAAGAAUCCAACACAAGAAAUCAAUCCUAUCAACUUUUUGCAGUGCAUUCAUCUCAAGUUCUUCCCCUCGCUCCCGGGGGAGGCAGGACCCAAUGUUAAUUCACAAUGGUCUAGCAUAAUUGCAGGAAGAUGUAAUUACAUGGAUUUGCACAUAGGCACAUAUGCUUUGCAACAUUCUGUGUGUCUUCCUAAUUGCUUGCGUUAGCAGCAUGUUAACAUCGGUUCAGUGGCAUGCAAAAGUUUGGGCACUCCUGGUCAAAAUUUCUGUUCCAGUGAACAGCUGAGCGAGUAAAAGAUGACCUGAUUUGGAAAAGGCAUAAAGUUAAAGAUGACACAUUGCUUUAAUAUUUUAAGUAAGAUUACUUUAUUAUUUCCAUCUUUUACAGUUUCAAAAGCACAAAAAAGGAAAAGGGCCCGAAUCAAAUGUUUGGGCACCCUGCAUGGUCAGUACUUAGUCACACCCACUUUGGCAAGUAUCACAGCUUGUGAACGCUUUCGGUAGCCAGCUAAGCAUCUUUCAAUUCUUGUUUGGGGGAUUUUGGCCCAUUGGUCCUUGCAAAAGGCUUACAGUUCUGUGAGAUUGUUGGGCCGUCUUGCAUGCACUGCUCUUUUGAGGUCUAUCCACAGAUUUUCGAUAAUUUUCAGAUCGGGGGACUGGGAGGGCCAUGUCAAAACCUUCAGCUUGUGCCUCUUGAGGUAGUGCAUUGUGGAUUUUGAGGUGUGUUUAGGAUCGUUAUCCUGUUGUAGAAGCCAUCUUCUUUUCAUCUUCAGCUUUUUUUCCAGAUGGUGUGAUGUUUGCUUCGAGAAUUUAAGGAGAAGUUAUUGGUAUGUUAUGGAUGCAAAUAAAGGAUUCUAAGAUAACCAAAGGUAUAAGUUGGUCAAAAUCUGCUUAAAAGGCCAACCGUGUGUUUAAUCAUUGGAAUAGUUCGGUGACAGGGGCCGGACUGUUCUCCGUGUGCACAAGUGAAAUAAAGUGUGAUUGCGAAACGAG